rnacentral:tRNA from 1 species
CAGAUAUUAGUUUAAUUAAAAUAUUAAUUUUGGAGAUUAAAGAUAAUAGAGAAUAUUUAUAUCUGA